CCUACGGGAGGCAGCAGUGAGGAAUAUUGGUCAAUGGACGCAAGUCUGAACCAGCCAUGCCGCGUGCAGGAAGACGGCCCUAUGAGUUGUAAACUGCUUUUGUACGAGGGUAAACGCAGAUACGUGUAUCUUUCUGAAAGUAUCGUACGAAUAAGGAUCGGCUAACUCCGUGCCAGCAGCCGCGGUAAUACGGAGGAUUCAAGCGUUAUCCGGAUUUAUUGGGUUUAAGGGGUGCGUAGGCGGUCGGAUAAGUUAGAUGUGAAAUCCCGAGGCUCAACUUCGGAAUUGCCUUUGAUACUGUUCGGCUAGAGUGUAGUUGCGGUAGGCGGAAUGUAUGGUGUAGCGGUGAAAUGCUUAGAGAUCAUGCAGAACACCGAUUGCGAAGGCAGCUUACCAAGCUACUACUGACGUUGAUGCACGAAAGCGUGGGGAGCAAACAGGAUUAGAUACCCCAGUAGUC
rnacentral:rRNA from 1 species